GACUACGAAGCGGGAGUCACUCCAAGCAAAUCCAGUGAAGAAGCCCAAGGUGACCUAAUCCAAAGAAUUGUCAUUAAUGGUUGUGGUUUUAAAGCCACUAAAUUUGGGGAUCUAAUCCUGGAUUUCACACUGCAAUUCGUUCUCAUGUUUCCCUGUGCUCUUCCAAUAUGAGAUACAACCGUGUGCAUAAACAGACUAGUCACCUCCUGAGACUGCAGCCUUGACAAUUCUUCAGGUCCAGAAGUUGAAUCUUGACUAGUCAACCUGACCAGGAUCAUUCAAUGACUAAAGAUAGGAAGGAACUACAUGGACCAAUUAUGGCCAAUGAGGUAUGAGGGGAAAUACGUGGAGGGUUUAUGGACUUUUCUUCAUUCUUCUAGGGACAUAUAUCAAAACAUUACUGUUUCCAGUUUGAGGGCACUGUUGUGUAAGCAUGUGAUACUUAGCAUCAUAGCCAUCCUGAGACCACACGUGGUCAAUCUUAUGACCCCAAACUAUCACCCUGGGAAGAGCAGAGCAUAUGAAUGUAAUGAGCCCACCAUGUCUUUGGUGAUAUUAAACUGCUAAAAUAAGCACACAAUCUCUGUACUACCUAUCAUGUGCAAUAAUAAACCACUUACCAUCAAGUUAUCAUUACACCAUGUACAAUGUUAACCUAUUAAAAAUGAAAUAUUUUGAUCUUGA